CUAUGUGUAAAGAGGUUGUAAUCUAGUUGGGAAGAGUUAUUUCUCACUGCUUAAAAACAAAAACAAAAACUACAGAAUUAAACACCCAAUUCCAAAGGAGAAAGACAUGCUUCCAAGCGCCGAGGGGCAGAGAUGAGGCUGCUGCCACCUCUUCUUGGGAAAUGGUGAAAUCAGAUGAUAGACUCACCGAGGGAGGCGGCCAUGAGUGUUGAAGGUUGCUAUACAUUUUCUAAGAAGAAUUUGAGAAGGUGUCGCUGACAUUAUCUAGGACUGGGUGGCUGACUUUGGUGAAGCCAGCUGCCAUGUUGUGAGCUGCCCUUUGGAGAAAACAGUGUGGUGAAGAACUGAGAUCCUGCCUACCAGUCCACAGAGAACUAAAUCCUGCCAACGACCACCAAGCAAGCCUGGAAGCAUAGCCCAUGCCAGCUGAACGUUGAGAUAGCUGCCGCUUUGGUGAACCCUUGACAAAAGCCUUGUGAGCCAGCCUGAGCUGCGGGACCCAGCUGGUUUGGUUCAGACUCCUGACUCACAGAAAUUGUGAGAUAAUACACGUGUGUUGUUUCAGGCAGCUAAGUUUUGUGGUAAUUUGUUGCCCUCCUAGAUAUUCUACAUCAUGUCAUUUUACAUUAUUUUCAAG
rnacentral:lncRNA from 1 species